UACGUAGGGUGCGAGCGUUAAUCGGAAUUACUGGGCGUAAAGUGUGCGCAGGCGGCCGAGCAAGUCGAGUGUGAAAGCCCCGGGCUUAACUUGGGAAUUGCGCUCGAAACUACUUGGCUAGAGUGUGGCAGAGGAAGGUGGAAUUCCACGUGUAGCGGUGAAAUGCGUAGAGAUGUGGAGGAACACCGAUGGCGAAGGCAGCCUUCUGGGCCAACACUGACGCUCAUGCACGAAAGCGUGGGGAGCGAACAGG
rnacentral:rRNA from 1 species